rnacentral:rRNA from 3 species
CUGACCUCAGAUCAGGCAAGACCACCCGCUGAGUUUAAGCAUAUCA